UGCGUAGGCGGAUAAAUAAGUCAGUGGUGAAAUCUUUCGGCUCAACUGGGAAACUGCCAUUGAUACUGUUUAUCUUGAGUUCGGUAGAGGUAGGCGGAAUGUGUAAUGUAGCGGUGAAAUGCUUAGAUAUUACACAGAACACCAAUUGCGUAGGCAGCUUACUAUGCCGACACGGACGCUGAGGCACGAAAGCGUGGGGAGCGAACAGGAUUAGAUACCCUGGUAGUCC
rnacentral:rRNA from 1 species